rnacentral:rRNA from 1 species
UACGGAGGGUGCAAGCGUUGUCCGGAUUUAUUGGGUUUAAAGGGUGCGUAGGCGGCUAAUUAAGUCAGCGGUGAAAUUCUACAGCUUAACUGUUAGAACUGCCAUUGAUACUGGUUGGCUUGAGUACAGAUGAGGUAGGCGGAAUUGACAGUGUAGCGGUGAAAUGCUUAGAUAUUGUCAAGAACACCUAUUGCGAAGGCAGCUUACUAAACUGUAACUGACGCUGAGGCACGAAAGCGUGGGGAGCGAACAGG